rnacentral:lncRNA from 1 species
GUCUGGGUUCCUGAUUUGUAUCUGUUACCCUUCAUGGAAAUGGCUGGUGAAGCAAAACUAUGUGUGUAAAACUGCAUCUGCCACAGGCUGCUUGUCCACAAAAGCAGCAAAGCAUCUCUAUGGAAUACCUCCGUAUGGAUCUGUAAAGAAGAGUCCCACUUCAGUCAAAGACAGUAGAUUAUGAGGUGAAGAACUGACCAGCGAUGAUCGGCCAGAAGACUGUGGCGUUUCAAAAUCAGAUAAGUAAGAAUAAUGGUGUUUGCCUGCCUUUCUUUCUUGAUCAGUACCUGGACUUCCUGCUCUUUCCCCCAUUGUUUUGAAAAAUGGUCUCUAUUCACAUAAUUUCACAGAUUAUUUUCUCCAGAGGAGACUAUGACAAUACUGAAAAACAUUUUCACAGUCUUCAGAUCCUGAUAAUAUUCAUUUCUGUGCAAUCUAUUUUCUCCACAAUGUAUUUGUAGACCACAAUUCACAUUGGCAUCCAGAAGAUAAACUUUUUUGCCCUGAAAUUAAGGAAGGGGAAAGGAGACUUAUCAUACAGUCUCUACAGUUUCUACAGUUAAUUACAAUGAAAGACACUAAAAGCAAAAUAAUA